CCCACAUUCUCUUUUUCGCUUCCUUUCCCGGGGUGUGGGAAGCUUUCAGGACAACUCGGCUAAGCCGUCAGGGCAGUCUUCUGCUUUUUGUUCUUAUUUUCCCGGUUGUGGAUUUUGUGGCGCACUUUUCCAUUUCUCAGCAUGGGUGCUAAGCUGACUGCGCCUGAGAAGGGAUUGUUUUCCCAAGUUGCGGGUAUCCUUUGAGUUGGGGAAAAAACGUUUAAGAAAUCUGAUAUCAAGAAGUUUGUCCGAUGGCUGUCUCAGACUUUCCCUGAAAUUUCGGCAAGCAAAUUAUAUCAAGUCCCCUUUUGGGACCAAGUGGGAAGGGAGAUUCUCCGACAGUCGGAUCUUUCUCUUUCCAAAUUUACACAUUUGGCUCUCCAAAUUAGAGACAUUAUUAAAAAUAACUAUGAAGGUCUGCCACAACCAUCUGUGGACAAACCCACCCCUAGUUCUAACCCCAGUACUAAAAACCCUACCCCUCUUUCCUCUCCCUCUUUCCCAAGGUCGGGUAUUCUCAGAUGGGCAUCCCGGCGAAGUCCGCAGGCAGAUUCUGGCCCCUCUGUGAAUUCCCUGGACCCCCGACAGGACAGUGCUGGCACUGUCCCGAAUCUCCCUUGUACCCCUUCUUCCCCACAAUAUACCACCCCGUCCCGUAAAAAUUCUGUUGGGUUUAAGCUACCCCAGUCACCUAAAAAUCCCUUAUCUCCUACUCCCUUAGCCCAGAAUCCUCAAAAUGGCUUCCCUUCUCCCUCCUUCACGAGGACACAAGAUGGUGGGGACCGCAUGGCUUUUCCCGCCACUUGUGCUUCUUCUUCCCAUGAUCCUUAUCCCCCUUCCUCCCAAAACCCUUUCCAGACAUCAUCCAACCCUUUCUGUCCCCAAGACUUCUCCGCCCAUCCCUCUUCUCCACCCCCAAUCUCCUCCUCUAAUGAAUUAUGCAACACCCCACCCCUCGGCUCCACCCCCGGGGAGGGGAGUCUCUAACACGCCACUCCCACUGCC
rnacentral:lncRNA from 1 species